rnacentral:tRNA from 1 species
GCAUCUGUGGUUCAAUGGUAGAAUUCUUGCCUUCAGUGCAGGAGACCCAGGUUCAAUUCCUGGCCAAUGUA